CGAACGGAAAGGCCUCAGCUUGCUGGGGUACUCGAGUGGCGAACGGGUGAGUAACACGUGGGUGAUCUGCCUUGCACUUCGGGAUAAGUUUGGGAAACUGGGUCUAAUACCGGAUAGGACAGCUGUUUAGUGUCAGUUGUGGAAAGUUUUUUCGGUGCAAGAUGAGCUCGCGGCCUAUCAGCUUGUUGGUGGGGUAAUGGCCUACCAAGGCGUCGACGGGUAGCCGGCCUGAGAGGGUGGACGGCCACAUUGGGACUGAGAUACGGCCCAGACUCCUACGGGAGGCAGCAGUGGGGAAUAUUGCACAAUGGGCGGAAGCCUGAUGCAGCGACGCCGCGUGGGGGAUGAAGGCCUUCGGGUUGUAAACUCCUUUCGACAGGGACGAAGCUUUUGUGACGGUACCUGUAUAAGAAGCACCGGCUAACUACGUGCCAGCAGCCGCGGUAAUACGUAGGGUGCGAGCGUUGUCCGGAAUUACUGGGCGUAAAGAGCUCGUAGGUGGUUUGUCGCGUCGUCUGUGAAAUUCCGGGGCUUAACUCCGGGCGUGCAGGCGAUACGGGCUGACUUGAGUGCUGUAGGGGAGGCUGGAAUUCCUGGUGUAGCGGUGAAAUGCGCAGAUAUCAGGAGGAACACCGAUGGCGAAGGCAGGUCUCUGGGCAGUAACUGACGCUGAGGAGCGAAAGCAUGGGUAGCGAACAGGAUUAGAUACCCUGGUAGUCCAUGCCGUAAACGGUGGGCGCUAGGUGUAGGGGGCUUCCACGUCUUCUGUGCCGUAGCUAACGCAUUAAGCGCCCCGCCUGGGGAGUACGCCGCA
rnacentral:rRNA from 1 species